UACGUAGGGGGCAAGCGUUGUCCGGAUUUACUGGGCGUAAAGAGCGUGUAGGCGGCCAUGCAGGUCCGUUGUGAAAACUGGAGGCUUAACCUCCAGACGUCGACGGAAACCGCGUGGCUAGAGUCCGGAAGAGGAGAGUGGAAUUCCGUGGUGUAGCGGUGAAAUGCGCAGAUAUCAGGAAGAACACCAAUGGCGAAGGCAGCUCUCUGGGACGGUACUGACGCUGAGACGCGAAAGCGUGGGAGCGAACAGG
rnacentral:rRNA from 1 species